GAUGGACGCUGGCGGUAUGCUUAACACAUGCAAGUCGAACGGACUCUUCGGAGUUAGUGGCGGACGGGUGAGUAACGCGUGAGAAUCUGGCUUUGGGUUCGGGACAACCACUGGAAACGGUGGCUAAUACCGGAUGUGCCGAGAGGUAAAAGAGAAAUUGCCUGAAGAUGAGCUCGCGUCUGAUUAGCUAGUUGGUGAGGUAAAGGCUCACCAAGGCAGCGAUCAGUAGCUGGUCUGAGAGGAUGACCAGCCACACUGGGACUGAGACACGGCCCAGACUCCUACGGGAGGCAGCAGUGGGGAAUUUUCCGCAAUGGGCGAAAGCCUGACGGAGCAAUACCGCGUGAGGGAAGAAGGCUCUUGGGUUGUAAACCUCUUUUCUUAGGGAAGAACAAAAUGACGGUACCUAAGGAAUCAGCAUCGGCUAACUCCGUG
rnacentral:rRNA from 1 species